AGUGAACGCUGGCGGUAGGCCUAACACAUGCAAGUCGAACGGCAGCACAGUAAGAGCUUGCUCCUACGGGUGGCGAGUGGCGGACGGGUGAGGAAUACAUCGGAAUCUACUUUUUCGUGGGGGAUAACGUAGGGAAACUUACGCUAAUACCGCAUACGACCUACGGGUGAAAGCAGGGGAUCUUCGGACCUUGCGCGAUUGAAUGAGCCGAUGUCGGAUUAGCUAGUUGGCGGGGUAAAGGCCCACCAAGGCGACGAUCCGUAGCUGGUCUGAGAGGAUGAUCAGCCACACUGGAACUGAGACACGGUCCAGACUCCUACGGGAGGCAGCAGUGGGGAAUAUUGGACAAUGGGCGCAAGCCUGAUCCAGCCAUACCGCGUGGGUGAAGAAGGCCUUCGGGUUGUAAAGCCCUUUUGUUGGGAAAGAAAAGCAGCAGGUUAAUACCCCGAUGUUCUGACGGUACCCAAAGAAUAAGCACCGGCUAACUUCGUG
rnacentral:rRNA from 1 species